GGGGCCGUACUGGCAUCGACAGGAGAGUAAACGGUUUAGUAAGCAUGCCGGAGUAUGAUGACUUAUCUCCGUUAACAAACAGUCAUUAACCACUUUUACAUGGCAAUACUCAGUAUGCCAUGGCUGCCUAAUUCUAGGAAUUAGAAAGCCUUUGUGCCGCACGUUUGACGCCUAAUACACAAUGUGCCGCAUAUCAUAACCUCUUAGGCUAGCCAAGUGUGCGGCUCCGAGCACGCGGCGAAAUUCAGGGGCUAAGGCCGGCGUCCGGGAGGGUGACCAAUCCUUUCGCUGGCUCGAAAAUUUAACUGGUCAAUAAGCAUGUAGAAAGCUCUAUCGUGCUUUCUCUGGACCCGGGUUCAACUCCCGGCGGCUCCACAA
rnacentral:tmRNA from 1 species